rnacentral:rRNA from 2 species
AUGGCUGGUGUUCUAACGUUGACCCGGAAUCCGGGUUGCGGACAGGGUCUGGUGGGUAGUUUGACUGGGGCGGUCUCCUCCUAAAGCGUAACGGAGGAGCACGAAGGUUAGCUAAUCACGGUCGGACAUCGUGAGGUUAGUGCAAAGGCAUAAGCUAGCUUGACUGCGAGAGUGACGGCUCGAGCAGGUGCGAAAGCAGGUCUUAGUGAUCCGGUGGUUCUGAAUGGAAGGGCCAUCGCUCAACGGAUAAAAGGUACUCCGGGGAUAACAGGCUGAUACCGCCCAAGAGUUCAUAUCGACGGCGGUGUUUGGCACCUCGAUGUCGGCUCAUCACAUCCUGGGGCUGAAGUAGGUCCCAAGGGUAUGGCUGUUCGCCAUUUAAAGGGGUACGCGAGCUGGGUUUAGAACGUCGUGAGACAGUUCGGUCCCUAUCUGCCGUGGGCGCUGGAGAACUGAGGGGGGCUGCUCCUAGUACGAGAGGACCGGAGUGGACGCAUCACUGGUGUUCGGGUUGUCAUGCCAAUGGCACUGCCCGGUAGCUAAAUGCGGAAGAGAUAAGCGCUGAAAGCAUCUAAGCGCGAAACUUGCCCCGAGAUGAGUUCUCCCUGACCCUUUAAGGGUCCUGAAGGAACGUUGAAGACGACGACGUUGAUAGGCUGGGUGUGUAAGUGCAGCGAUGCAUUGAGCUAACCAGUACUAAUGAUCCGUGAGGCUUAACCUUACAACACCGAAGGUGUUU